GAGGGUAUAGCUCAGUGGUAGAGAGCAUGCUUAGCAUGCACGAGGCCCUGGGUUCAAUCCCAGUACCUCCA
rnacentral:tRNA from 1 species